ACACUUAUCUGGCAAGAGAGAUACCACAAUCAGUAAGGUGAUUUUCACAUUGUGAUGCUUAUCCAUUGCACUCCGGAUGUACUGACCUCUGCACUUUCCCCAAAUGUGAGAAACUCAACUGCAUAAUUUAUGGUAGUGAGGAACUGCAUUCACUGUCUCCCAA
ensembl:snRNA U1 U1 spliceosomal RNA